rnacentral:rRNA from 1 species
GACGAACGCUGGCGGCGUGCUUAACACAUGCAAGUCGAACGGUGAAGCUCCAGCUUGCUGGAGUGGAUCAGUGGCGAACGGGUGAGUAACACGUCAGCAACCUGCCCCUGACUCUGGAAUAAGCGCUGGAAACGGCGUCUAAUACUGGAUACGAGAAGGGUCCGCAUGGGCACUUUCUGGAAAGUUUUUCGGUUGGGGAUGGGCGCGCGGCCUAUCAGCUUGUUGGUGAGGUAAUGGCUCACCAAGGCGACGACGGGUAGCCGGCCUGAGAGGGCGACCGGCCACACUGGGACUGAGACACGGCGCAGACUCCUACGGGAGGCAGCAGUGGGGAAUAUUGCCCAAUGGGCGAAAGCCUGAUGCAGCGACGCCGCGUGAGGGAUGACGGCCUUCGGGUUGUAAACCGCUUUCAGCAGGGAAGAAGCGAAAGUGACGGUACCUGCAGAAGAAGCACCGGCUAACUACGUG